rnacentral:rRNA from 1 species
CCUACGGGGGGCAGCAGUGAGGAAUAUUGGUCAAUGGGCGCGAGCCUGAACCAGCCAAGUCGCGUGAGGGAAGACGGUCCUAUGGAUUGUAAACCUCUUUUGUCGGGGAGCAAAAGACGCCACGUGUGGCGUUCCGAGAGUACCCGAAGAAAAAGCAUCGGCUAACUCCGUGCCAGCAGCCGCGGUCAUACGUAGGAUCCGAGCAUUAUCCGGAGUGACUGGGUGUAAAGAGUGGCGUAGGUGGCAUAAUAAGUAGCUAGUGAAAUCUGGUGGCUCAACCAUUCAGACUAUUAGCGAAACUGGUACGCUCGAGACCGUUAGGGGUAACUGGAAUUUGUGGUGUAGGAGUGAAAUCCGUAGAUAUUAGAAGGAACACCGAUAGCGUAGGCAGGUUACUGGGACGGUUCUGACACUAAGGCACGAAAGCGUAGGUAGCAAACGGGAUUAGAUACCCUAGUAGUC